CUCCAGCUGCCGCUGCCUGGAGGGACCCUUCGCCAGCGCGCCCCGGGGGCUUCGCCCCCAGCAAAGAUUUGAAAUGGCUCUGCGUCCUCUUCCAGCUCCCUUCCGUGCCCAUAGUUCCUUUUUAUCUGCGGAGCACUUGAUUCUCUGUUGCACUCUGCCUGCCUUCCCCGCGUUUUCUUUCUCGUUGCUGGAAGAGACUCCUCCUCAGUGAGUGACUCGAGCCCAUGGGUGCACAUUUUCAAGCCUUUAUGUGGCUUGAAACAGUAUGAACAUCGAUGCUUCUUUUAAACUGAAUGCGGUCUCAGUUGGGGCCCCGUGGCUGGCUGGGGUUUUCUGCGGCUGAUCACCGUGCCAGCGGUCUGCAGCGUCAGUUAAAGAGAGCCAGCGAUUUGAACAGUUCACGCCGAUUUUCUUUUCAUGAUAGCACCCAGGCCCUGUGAGGUAGGUGCUGUGAUUGUCCCCACUUUAAAGGUCAAGAGCGGCCCCACGGCGCGUCUGUGCAACGGCACAAGGUGGGAGAGAUGGUAAAUGGGGAAAGUGGGACUCCGCUAUGUCCGCUUUGCACUUGGCCUCUGCCCCCGGCUGCCUCUAUAGGGGGCUUGAACCUGCUACGGAUGCCGCUUGGAUAAGUUUUUGCCUCACCACGUUGGGGGCAGGAUGUCACUGACUUUGCCGACCUGGCCUUCGCUCGUGAGCACUAGGAGAUGGUCGGAGCAGAGAAGGUGUCCUCGUGUCCCCUGUGCAGGACGUCUGUUUCCCGCCUGCAAAUGCUGAUGUUCUGUUUUCUGCAGAAAGUACCCAUCCAUUAAUUAUUUGAUCAACGAAGGCGUGUGGGAGCCACCCAAGUCUAAAAGUGAAAGGCAGAAGGCAGAGACGUGCUCGCGUCUGUGGAAUCAGUUAGGGUUUUGUUUUUUUUUAAGAUUGGGUUUCAAACCCAUUUGACAACAAAUUAGGUAUUUCUGGUUUUAUCUUGUUUGACAUCAGUAACAGCGUUAUCGACUAUUGGCCCAACUUAGGACCCACAAUGCUCUGUGCCUUGUCUUAAGCCCCCGCUGGAUGACUGUCAUUGUUCUAGAAGGAGGCUGGACAAUUUGAUUUACUGCAAGGACUUCAGGACUACUGCCGUAGUCCCAAAGUCACCAAGAGGAAAGCACAAACACCAUUACCUCCGCUUAAUGAGAUGGGAGAACUCGGGCACGAGUGCUCACGCCGGGCAAGUCAGAGCCGCAGAUCAGCAGCAGGGCUGAGGUGGUGUGAGAGGGACUCAGGCGGGAGUGGCCGUGCUCAGCCACCUCUCGCUCCCUGGGUAAAGCUGCCCACAGGUGGGUGUACCCCACCCCCGGAAGCCCGGCCUGGAUGCAGCUGCAUUUUCACCCUGGCUUAAUGUGAAGAACCUGGCUGUUCCCUUCCUCUGCCUCACACCUGAAAACCAGCAAAUGUCGGUCUCCUAACAUCUCUCAAAAGGCAGAUGACUCCUGCUCCGUCUGUAAUGUCAGAACGGUCACCUAACACAGGUUUCCUCUGUACCGAUCAUACACCGAAACAAUCCAACAUCUCUUAGUAAAAACAUCCUUUCUGUGCCUCUGACUUGAGUCUUUUUCCAGGCACUGCUGAGUCCCAGGAAAGGCCUCUGCGAUUUGUGAAAGACGACGCCUUUGCCCAGAGUCCGCACGUCACUGUUGUGAGGCUGGUGGGUGUUCUGUUCACUUAUGCCAGCUUUCAGGUUCCCCCUUUUCCUUUUUCUACCUAAAAAAAAAAAAUAAUACACACCCCCCCACACACACACACACACAAGAGAAGACCGCUGUGCCUGCCCUUUCCCUCAGGAGCCAGGUGAGUCCCUGGGCAUCUGGGGCAGGUUGCAAGGUCCAGCAUCUCCCCGAGACGAGGCCGAGCUGGGGGUGCCCACCCCCAGAGAGAGCCCAGCACAGUGGCUCAUGCAGCUGCCUGUGUUUCAGUUCUUACAGCGUCUUGAUUUUGACCUGAUUAGUCAAAAGAGAGAAAGAGAUAAAAUAUUCAGAGUUUUCAAGCUACUGGGGAAUAAGCACUUUUGGUACAGAAAAAGAAAAAAGCCUAGCGUUUUAGAUAAACAGCACAGUAGUGCACAUACUUAGAAUCUUAAGAUCAAAGAUGUUUUGUUACUUUAGAAACAAACCAAAAAAUGUAUUAAGCAUAAUUAAAUUUGCUCGUAAAGAUCAUUUCUGAUUUGUUUAAUUAAUUAAUUUAUUUUACUGUGACUCGCUCAUUUAUUCCAAGAAUGCUUUUUUAAAAUUUAAUUUUUUUCCCCGUGUUUACACUUCACACUAAUGGAACAAAAUACCUGCCAACUCAAAUCUUCUGUUUUCUUUUAAAAUGAAAAGUUUGAAAGAAAAACCCAGGACAAAAAACCCCCCCAAAUCCUGCAUUUCUUCUGUCUCUGGACCACUGUCUCUCAUAUUUUUGACAAAACAGAGCGGCUCCCUGCACCCUGCUCUUCCAGAUGUCCCUCCCCUGGGUUCUCGUGUCCUCGGCUUUCACACCGCUGAUCAGCUUCUACCCUUGUUUUUUCAAGGUUUUUUUGGUUUUAUUUUCAAAAGUUUUUUUUGACAGAGUUUGGUAGCCUUCAGGUAUUUUAGUGCCAGAAGCAAGCCAAAGAGAGGUCG